rnacentral:lncRNA from 1 species
GUUCCGCCCCUGGUAGUUAGGAGCUCUUAGAAGUCCUCUCCCACCAUACAGCUAUCGAGCUUUUCUAGAGGAAGAGCUGAUGAAAAGAGUCACAGCUGAAUAGUGGAGAGAAAAAGCCCGGUAUUUAUUGCUUUUGUUUGGCUUUUGGCUACAGAGACAGGAACCUUCUAAUGGGGAGGUGUUUAGCCAGUAACCCGGGAAACUCGAGGACUCCCACAC